GACUCUCAACAAUGGAUAUCUCUACUCUUGUCACGAUGAAGAACGUAGCGAAAUGCGAUAGUUAGUGUGAAUUGCAGAAACCCAUGAAUCCUUGCCUUUCCCUUGGUCACCCAACCUUGGCCAUGUCAUAUUAAAAAAUCU
rnacentral:rRNA from 1 species